GACGAACGCUGGCGGCGUGCUUAACACAUGCAAGUCGCACGGGCAGUUUCGGCUGUCAGUGGCGGACGGGUGAGUAACGCGUAGGUAUCUAUCCGUUGGGUGGGGGACAACCGUGGGAAACUACGGCUAAUACCGCAUGAUGACUUGGGCUGUGGUGGCCUGGGUCCAAAGGCGCAAGUCGCCGUGGGGAGAGCCUGCGUACGAUUAGCUAGUUGGUGGGGUAAAGCCUA
rnacentral:rRNA from 1 species